rnacentral:lncRNA from 1 species
UUGGGGCGCUCAUACACCCCAAAACGCGUCUUGCCAAUUAAGGUGUGGAUCACCCCUUAUAAACCCAGCAUCUCUCCCGUGCUUUGCCGAUGUGGGAUUCGCCUAGGGUGUUACAUACACCCCCCCUUGGGGACUCAGCGUCCUCGCUGAGGUUUGCCCCACCAUCGCUCAAGAGGACACGCGGAGCCGCUCUGAUACCACAAUGUCAUGACCCAACCUAGACCUGACAAGAUAUUGUCCGUUUUCUCUGAUACCACAAUGUCAUGACCCAACCCAGACCUGGCAAGAUAUUGUCCGCUUUGGGCCUUAACAAGGCCCGCACGGAUUUGUUCUUGGGGCGCCCAUACACCCCAAAACGCGUCUUGCCAAUUAAGGUGUGGAUCACCCCUUAUAAACCCAGCAUCUCUCCC